rnacentral:rRNA from 1 species
UACAGAGGGGGCAAGCGUUGUUCGGAAUUACUGGGCGUAAAGGGCGCGUAGGCGGCCUUCUAAGUCGAACGUGAAAUCCCUGGGCUCAACCCAGGAACUGCGUCCGAUACUGGAUGGCUUGAGUUCGGGAGAGGGAUGCGGAAUUCCAGGUGUAGCGGUGAAAUGCGUAGAUAUCUGGAGGAACACCGGUGGCGAAGGCGGCAUCCUGGACCGACACUGACGCUGAGGAGCGAAAGCCAGGGGAGCAAACGGG